AUGAACGCUAGCUACAGGCUUAACACAUGCAAGUCGAGGGGCAGCAUGAACUUAGCUUGCUAAGUUUGAUGGCGACCGGCGCACGGGUGAGUAACACGUAUCCAACCUGCCGAUGACUCGGGGAUAGCCUUUCGAAAGAAAGAUUAAUACCCGAUGGCAUAGUUCUUCCGCAUGGUAGAACUAUUAAAGAAUUUCGGUCAUCGAUGGGGAUGCGUUCCAUUAGGUUGUUGGCGGGGUAACGGCCCACCAAGCCUUCGAUGGAUAGGGGUUCUGAGAGGAAGGUCCCCCACAUUGGAACUGAGACACGGUCCAAACUCCUACGGGAGGCAGCAGUGAGGAAUAUUGGUCAAUGGACGAGAGUCUGAACCAGCCAAGUAGCGUGAAGGAUGACUGCCCUAUGGGUUGUAAACUUCUUUUAUACGGGAAUAAAGUGAGGCACGUGUGCCUUUUUGUAUGUACCGUAUGAAUAAGGAUCGGCUAACUCCGUGCCAGCAGCCGCGGUAAUACGGAGGAUCCGAGCGUUAUCCGGAUUUAUUGGGUUUAAAGGGAGCGUAGGCGGACGCUUAAGUCAGUUGUGAAAGUUUGCGGCUCAACCGUAAAAUUGCAGUUGAUACUGGGUGUCUUGAGUACAGUAGAGGCAGGCGGAAUUCGUGGUGUAGCGGUGAAAUGCUUAGAUAUCACGAAGAACUCCGAUUGCGAAGGCAGCCUGCUGGACUGUAACUGACGCUGAUGCUCGAAAGUGUGGGUAUCAAACAGGAUUAGAUACCCUGGUAGUCCACACAGUAAACGAUGAAUACUCGCUGUUUGCGAUAUACAGUAAGCGGCCAAGCGAAAGCGUUAAGUAUUCCACCUGGGGAGUACGCCGGCAACGGUGAAACUCAAAGGAAUUGACGGGGGCCCGCACAAGCGGUGGAGCAUGUGGUUUAAUUCGAAGCAACGCGAAGAACCUUACCAGGUCUUGACAUCCGAUGCAUAGCACAGAGAUGUGUGAAAUCCUUCGGGACAUCGAGACAGGUGGUGCAUGGUUGUCGUCAGCUCGUGUCGUGAGAUGUUGGGUUAAGUCCCGCAACGAGCGCAACCCUUGUCUUUAGUAGCCAGCAGUUCGGCUGGGCACUCUAGAGAGACUGCCAGGGAUAACCUGGAGGAAGGCGGGGAUGACGUCAAAUCAUCAUGCCCCUUAUGAUUUGGGCUACACACGUGCUACAAUGGCGUAAACAAAGGGAAGCGAGAUUGUGAGAUGGAGCAAAUCCCAAAAAUAACGUCCCAGUUCGGACUGUAGUCUGCAACCCGACUACACGAAGCUGGAAUCGCUAGUAAUCGCGGAUCAGAAUGCCGCGGUGAAUACGUUCCCGGGUCUUGUACACACCGCCCGUCACACCAUGGGAGUCGGAAAUGCCCGAAGUCGGUGACCUAACCGUAAGGAAGGAGCCGCCGAAGGCAGGUCUGAUAACUGGGGUG
rnacentral:rRNA from 1 species